UACGAGUGCCCUAAGCGUUAUCCGGAAUCAUUGGGCGUAAAGGGCUCGUAGGUGGCCAACUAAGUCAGACGUGAAAUCCCUCGGCUUAACCGGGGAACUGCGUCUGAUACUGGAUGGCUUGAGUUCGGGAGAGGGAUGCGGAAUUCCAGGUGUAGCGGUGAAAUGCGUAGAUAUCUGGAGGAACACCGGUGGCGAAGGCGGCUUUCUGGACAGAAACUGACGCUGAUGCGCGAAAGCUAGGGGAGCAAACAGG
rnacentral:rRNA from 1 species